UCCCUUUCAUCUUGAGUAUUCCUCCAUUUGAGUAGAAUUUUACCCGUUGAACACAUCGGAAUAUAAUUCGGAUACAUGGAAAGUUUGCACAUAAGUGCCACAUAUGUAGCCAAGCUACCAUGUAACCCGCCCAUAAGUGAACUCGGACUCAACUCAACGAGCUCGGGCGUUCGCAUCCAUAAGUGAACUCGGACUCAACUCAACGAGCUCGGAUGCCUAGUUACAUCUCUCGAACUCGGACUCAACUGAACGAGUUCGGACAUUCGCAUCCAUAAGUGAACUCGG
rnacentral:lncRNA from 1 species